rnacentral:rRNA from 1 species
CUACGGGCGGCAGCAGUGAGGAAUAUUGCACAAUGGGGGGAACCCUGAUGCAGCAACGCCGCGUGGAGGAUGACGCAUUUCGGUGUGUAAACUCCUUUUAUAUGUCAAGAAAAUGACGGUAGCAUAUGAAUAAGCACCGGCUAACUCCGUGCCAGCAGCCGCGGUAAUACGGAGGGUGCAAGCGUUACUCGGAAUCACUGGGAGUAAAGGACGCGUAGGCGGGUUGGAAAGUCAGGUGUGAAAUCCUACAGCUUAACUGUAGAAUUGCACUUGAAACUUCUAAUCUAGAGUAUGGGAGGGGGAGAUGGAAUUAGUGGUGUAGGGGUAAAAUCCGUAGAUAUCACUAGGAAUACCUAAAGCGAAGGCGAUCUCCUGGAACAUUACUGACGCUAAGGCGUGAAAGCGUGGGGAGCAAACAGGAUUAGAUACCCGGGAGUC